UUAAAAUAAAACAAAGGAGAAGAAAAAAA
rnacentral:sRNA from 1 species